GACGAACGCUGGCGGCGUGCUUAACACAUGCAAGUCGAACGUGAUUUUUGUGGAAAUUCUUUCGGGAAUGGAAAUGAAAUGAAAGUGGCGAACGGGUGAGUAACACGUGAGCAACCUACCUUACACAGGGGGAUAGCCGUUGGAAACGACGAUUAAUACCGCAUGAGACCACAGAAUCGCAUGAUAUAGGGGUCAAAGAUUUAUCGGUGUAAGAAGGGCUCGCGUCUGAUUAGCUAGUUGGAAGGGUAAAGGCCUACCAAGGCGACGAUCAGUAGCCGGUCUGAGAGGAUGAACGGCCACAUUGGAACUGAGACACGGUCCAAACUCCUACGGGAGGCAGCAGUGGGGAAUAUUGCACAAUGGGGGGAACCCUGAUGCAGCGACGCCGCGUGAGCGAAGAAGGUUUUCGAAUCGUAAAGCUCUGUCCUAUGAGAAGAUAAUGACGGUAUCAUAGGAGGAAGCCCCGGCUAAAUACGUGCCAGCAGCCGCGGUAAUACGUAUGGGGCGAGCGUUGUCCGGAAUUAUUGGGCGUAAAGGGUACGUAGGCGGUUUUUUAAGUCAGGUGUGAAAGCGUGAGGCUUAACCUCAUUAAGCACUUGAAACUGGAAGACUUGAGUGAAGGAGAGGAAAGUGGAAUUCCUAGUGUAGCGGUGAAAUGCGUAGAUAUUAGGAGGAAUACCGGUGGCGAAGGCGACUUUCUGGACUUUUACUGACGCUCAGGUACGAAAGCGUGGGGAUCAAACAGG
rnacentral:rRNA from 1 species